GGGAAGGUCUGUAGCUCAGUGGCAGAGCACCUGCUUUGCACACCGAAGGUCUCAGGUUCAAUUCCUGAAGUCUCUUGCCA